CUUUCGUUGGCAUACGCGAGCAGUUGUCGCACAGACACGAUCUCCAGUCGUAUAGCUACCCUACUCUCGUCUCCUCCGAUCUUCAUCGUUUUGAUUUAGGCCUAUUUGAUGAAGGCUGUCCUCGGUGCUUUCUUCCUGAUGCCCCGCUUCUGGCUCGAAUCGAAAAGGCUGAACAGAAGACAUUCAAUGCCGCUCAAUUGACAACAGCAACAGACCCACGGACUGUAGAAUGGACCGGAGACCCCAGCAACCCUUUGACGUCACUACCCAGAGAGCAUCGCUAAGGGAGAAGAAAUGAGGUCCCAGUGAAGUCAGCGGAGGUGAGACCUUUGACAACAACAUGUGACGAUAUGGGGGCUGUUCCAGGGAACUGCAUGAACUCAAAGAUCAAAGAAAAGCCGGGCACUAAAGGCGGUUACAUAACCGAAAAAAAAACACUCAGAAGCUGGAGAAAUGGGCAUUGGAAGGGACGGCACUGCACAAAGUCUGUUAAGAGCAAGAGGACAGGAUGCCAGGUCACCUUCCGAUGCAAUCAGCACUUUCCCAUUCUAAACAGGACAGCUGGCAAAACUGAAGGAGGU